rnacentral:snRNA from 1 species
GGAUGUGAGGGCGAUCUGGCUGCGACAUCUGUCACCCCAUUGAUCGCCAGGGUUGAUUCGGCUGAUCUGGCUGGCUAGGCGGGUGUCCCCUUCCUCCCUCACCGCUCCAUGUGCGUCCCUCCCGAAGCUGCGCGCUCGGUCGAAGAGGACGACCUUCCCCGAUAGAGGAGGACCGGUCUUCUGUCAAGGGUAUACGAGUAGCUGCGCUCCCCUGCUAGAACCUCCAAACAAGCUCUCAAGAAUCCACUGAAUAUAAUGUAAAUUACAUUUUAAACAUCAAUUAAAUGACUUAAACAUUUAUGAAAAUCUGGUUACCAAC